rnacentral:rRNA from 1 species
UACGAAGGGUGCUAGCGUUGUUCGGAAUUACUGGGCGUAAAGAGUGCGUAGGCGGCUAUACAAGUCAGGGGUGAAAUCCCGGAGCUUAACUCCGGAACUGCCUUUGAAACUGUAUAGCUGGAGUGUUUGAGGGGAUAGCGGAAUUCCUAAUGUAGAGGUGAAAUUCGUAGAUAUUAGGAGGAACACCGGUGGCGAAGGCGGCUAUCUGGCAAACAACUGACGCUGAGGCACGAAAGCGUGGGGAUCAAACAGG